rnacentral:lncRNA from 1 species
AGUCAGUGACGUGAAGGGCUUCUAAGCCAGUCCACAUGCUCUGUGUGAACUCCCUCUGGCCCUGCUUAUUGUUGAAUGGGCCAAAGGUCUGAGACCAGGCUGCUGCUGGGUAGGCCUGGACUUUGGGUCUCCCACCCAGACCUGGGAAUGUAUGGUUGUGGCUUCUGCCACCCAUCCACCUGGCUGCUCAUGGACCAGCCAGCCUCGGUGGCUUUGAAGGAACAAUUCCACACAAAGACUCUGGACCUCUCCGAAACCAGGCACCGCAAAUGGUAAGCCAGAGGCAGCCACAGCUGUGGCUGCUGCUCUUAAAGCUUGUAAACUGUUUCUGCUUAAGAGGGACUGAGUCUUCAGUCAUUGCUUUAGGGGGAGAAAGAGACAUUUGUGUGUCUUUUGAGUACCGUUGUCUGGGUCACUCACAUUUAACUUUCCUUGAAAAACUAGUAAAAGAAAAAUGUUGCCUGUUAACCAAUAAUCAUAGAGCUCAUGGUACUUUGAGGAAAUCUUAGAAAGCGUGUAUACAAUUGUCUGGAAUUAUUUCAGUUAAGUGUAUUAGUUGAGGUACUGAUGCUGUCUCUACUUCAGUUAUACAUGUGGGUUUGAAUUUUGAAUCUAUUCUGGCUCUUCUUAAGCA